AGUGAACGCUGGCGGUAUGCCUAACACAUGCAAGUCGAACGGCAGCACAGUAAGAGCUUGCUCUUACGGGUGGCGAGUGGCGGACGGGUGAGGAAUACAUCGGCAUCUACUUUUUCGUGGGGGAUAACGUAGGGAAACUUACGCUAAUACCGCAUACGACCUACGGGUGAAAGCAGGGGAUCUUCGGACCUUGCGCGAUUGAAUGAGCCGAUGUCGGAUUAGCUAGUGGGCGGGGUAAAGGCCCACCAAGGCGACGAUCCGUAGCUGGUCUGAGAGGAUGAUCAGCCACACUGGAACUGAGACACGGUCCAGACUCCUACGGGAGGCAGCAGUGGGGAAUAUUGGACAAUGGGCGCAAGCCUGAUCCAGCCAUACCGCGUGGGUGAAGAAGGCCUUCGGGUUGUAAAGCCCUUUUGUUGGGAAAGAAAAGCAGCAGGUUAAUACCCCGCUGUUCGGACGGUACCCAAAGAAUAAGCACCGGCUAACUUCGU
rnacentral:rRNA from 1 species